rnacentral:lncRNA from 1 species
GACGCCCUGCUGACCGGAAUCGCGGCGUAAGAGCUCGCGGAUGGGGUCGCAGUUGUAGACGCGGAAGCCGGAGUCCGUGGCGACGGAGAAGCAGCCGUGGUCCUGGUUGAAGGACAGGUGGUGGAUCUUGGGGAUUUGGUUCGGGUUCAGGUUCGGGCCUGGGCUUGGGUAUUGGGUGGAGAGAGAGUGGGAGUCGCCGGGUUCGGAAUCGGAGGCCGAAUUGGGAGGCUGCUGUGACUGAGGCUGCGGGUGCGCCAUGUUGGGUGUGUUGAGUAAAUCGGGAGUCCAGUCUAGAAGGACGAAUUGAAAAGGCGGGGAGGAGACGGCGGUCAUGGCCUAAUCAAAUUACGGUGGCCGGCGAAGUGUUGGAAAUUUGGGAUUUUUAUACAAAUUUUAGGACAAUUGAAGAUUUUUGUCUGGUUUUUGCUGUAAAGCUUUGGACUUUGAAGUGUGCAUGAAAAUAUUUAUAGCUAGUGUUUGCACCUGAAAUGUGUACCAUUUUACUUAUUUGGGUAUUGGACAACGAUUGUCUGCCCUCCAACUGGUGUCCUUCCAUACCCUACUGUUUGUGUGGUCACGGUUAAGCCAUGUUAACAUUUUAUAUUUCAUUGUUGUCCUAUUAUCUCUAUAAAAAAAAUAUAUAAAAUGUUGACGUGGCUUAACCGUGACCACACAAAACAGGAGGACACGGAAGGGCACGGAAGUGGGAGGGCAAACAAUCCUUGUCCUUGGGUGUUUGGGUAAAAUAUGACAUUUGGGGGAUGAUGAGACAAAACAUUGAACUUUGAUGGAUAUUUGGCUUUGGAUGGGAGACAUCAUGCAGACAAUCUUGCAAAGAACAUGUGAAAGAAGUCACAUUGCUUCUUUUAAAUGUUAGUUUAUUACAAGUGGUGGAGAUGUGAGGUGAAAUCAUGUGGUGAAAUACAAACUUGCUUAUUGUAUUAUUUCACAAUGCAACCUGGCCAAACUUCUUUCGGGCAAGUUCAUUGUUCUUAGCAAGGGACUUUUAAGAUGACUAUAUAGUGGGCAGAGGCAAAUCCGGGACCGCCUCCGACUAGAGCGAGGAUUUGGUAGCGGAAUAGCAUUUGGACCAUUCCGACGCCCCGCUGACCGGAAUCGCGGCGGAAGAGCUCGCGGACGGGGUCGCAGUUGUAGACGCGGAAGCCGGAGUCCGUGGCGACGGAGAAGCAGCCGUGGUCCUGGUUGAAGGACAGAUGGUGGACCUUGGGGAUUUGGUUCGGGUUCAGGUUCGGGCCUGGGCUUGGGUAUUGGGUGGAGAGAGAGUGGGAGUCGCCGGGUUCGGAAUCGGAGGCCGAAUUGGGAGGCUGAUGUGACUGAGGCUGCGGGUGCGGCAUGUUGGGUGUGUUGAGUAAAUCAGGAGUCCAGUCUAGAAGGACGAAUUGAAAAGGCGGGGAGGAGACGGCGGUCAUGGCCUAAUCAAAUUACGGUGGCCGGCAAGUGUUGGAAAUUUGGGAUUUUUAUACAAAUUUUAGGACAAUUGAAGAUUUUUGCUGUAAAGCUUUGGACUUCGAAGUGUGCAAGAAAAUAUUUAUAGCUCAUGCAAAAUAAAUAGUUUUUAAAUUCCGAAUUUGCUAUGAACAUAUUUGCUUUACCUUCUCAGUUUAUGA